UCGUCAUUAAAUAAUAAUAAUAAAAAAUUUAUACGCCAAAAUUUCUUAUUUAUUUUAUAUAGGAAAUCUCGGGUUAUUACAUUCACCCUCCCUUAUAAGGAUUCCGUCCCCGGAAUCACCGCUUUAAAACUCAUAUGCCUAAGGGUACAUAGCAUAUAAUCAUUGCACGUAGACCUCGAUCAUACUUGAUCGAACUGAUCUUUAAUUAUUCUUCAUAACACUUGUUUAUCCAAUUGAGCAGAAAUUUGAAUUCUAAAAGAACUCAAAAUUUCUUUAUAAAAAUAAUUUAGUAUAUAUGCAGGAAAAUCAUAUAAGAUAUAUAAGUUAUUCAAAUAGCACCUGGAGUUCUGUUUCCAGCUGCCACCGUAUCCUGGACCGUCAUGUUGUAGACCCUCGGAGUUGGGUUGUUUGUUGAAAUUUGUUUCGUUGUCGCCUAUAUCUUGAUGUCAUUUCUCGUAUUCGCAUUCCUUAUCUCACUUCUCCUUCUUUAAUAAUCUUUCACCUUAUACUCCAUUGAUUCACAAAUAAAACAUUC
rnacentral:lncRNA from 1 species